GUAAGUAAGAAACUCCAAUUUUGGAUAGCUGUCUUGCUGAAUGUAUCUCUGGCUCUUCAUCUCCAAAGGGGCCCAAAUGGGGUCAUACACAGAGUUCUUAGAUCCUUGACCACACCACUGGUAGAGGCGGUGGGAGGAGAAGCAGAAGAAGAGCAACCAAGGAGAGACUAUGUAUAGGAGAUUGGGUCCUAGAGAUAGGCUAGCCCCCAGCAGGGGAGGGUCCCAGAAGUCUUAUGUCUCUGAGGUGCGGACAAAAGAAAAACCUGUGACCGGCAAGCUAAAACAAGAUUAGAGGCUGACGGAAAUUGCUUUGUGCAUCAGACUGAAAGCCAGAGGCAAAAACAAAGACUGUGUCAAGAGAUGGAGAGAAGGGAGGAGGUGUGUUUAGUAAGUGAAGAAGGAAG
rnacentral:lncRNA from 1 species